rnacentral:rRNA from 1 species
GAGUUUGAUCAUGGCUCAGAGUGAACGCUGGCGGCGUGCUUAACACAUGCAAGUCGAACGAGAACGGGCCUAGCUUGCUAGGCUGUCAGCUAAGUGGCGGACGGGUGAGUAAUGUAUAGUUAAUCUGCCCUUUAGAGGGGGAUAACAGUUAGAAAUGACUGCUAAUACCUCAUACUCCUUUUACCUUAAUGGUAAUUGGGAAAUGUUUUUUCGCUAAAGGAUGAGACUAUAUGGUAUCAGGUAGUUGGUGGGGUAAGAGCCCACCAAGCCAAUGACGCCUAGCUGGUCUGAGAGGAUGAUCAGCCACACUGGAACUGAGACACGGUCCAGACUCCUACGGGAGGCAGCAGUGGGGAAUAUUGCACAAUGGAGGAAACUCUGAUGCAGCAACGCCGCGUGGAGGAUGACACAUUUCGGUGCGUAAACUCCUUUUAUAUGGGAAGAUAAUGACGGUACCAUAUGAAUAAGCACCGGCUAACUCCGUGCCAGCAGCCGCGUAAUACG